ACUGCUGCAGCAGUUGUACCAUGUGCAGCACAAAAUGGUACAAAUAGGGAUAUUUUUGUACAUGUAUAAGGAUAAAUUGGUUGAACUUUAUUCAUUUUCAUAAAGGCACGUGUAGGUACUUUGGAAGACGUGUCUUACCAAUAUUCAGCCCUACACCUUAACUCUAAUUUCCUUUGAAACCUCACUUCUUUGGAGCAGGCAAAGCUCUCUGUAACCUUCACUGAUGAACUGUCAGGCAAAAAGAUAUCAAAAGCCAUCCAACUAUGGUGUUUGAACUUCAAGUUUCACAAUUUUGGUGGAAAAUCGCUACUAAUUAGCGUAUUAUUUCUGAGUUUUAGGUUUGGAUCUAAUUAUUCAACAAUCUUUUUUUUUUUUCCCUCCUGUUUAAUCAUUUUAUUCUCUAGUGCCAACAUCUUCAGAAAGAAGGGGGAAGCUUUUUUAGACGUUGUAUUUCUCUAUCUCUUUUUACUUUUUUGUAUUUUAGACGUUGUAUUUCUCUAUCUCUUUUUCCUUUUUUGUAUUUCAGAAUUUUUUGUUUCCCGAUAUUCACAUUAGGGGAAGAUUUUUUCAUGUAGCCAAUUGAUUAUCUUUGUUGAAGUCUGCGGGCUUCACCAAAUUCAGUUUAUAGGUCAGCAUUUUCUCCUCAA